AUAAUCAAUAAGCAAGGGUCAUCUCUAUUGCCAGACUCAAAUGUCUCUGAUCUAGCAAAUCAUCAAUUACUGCUGCCUAUAUUAGCCUUCCCGUUAGCCGUGUGACCCGAACGGGUCCUCUUAUUCUUCAAGUAGACGAGGACAGGAGCUGCAGAGCAGUUUUCUGCUGAUGAAAUAAGGCUGCAGUGUGCUUGGGUUGGGGCCUGUCUCCAGCUUCUCUGCAGAGGACUUCACUCCUCUCCUUGAGUGGCCUGUGAGUGCCAGGCUUGUCAGGCUCUCGAGACUCGAAUGUAUGGCAGGCAAGUCUCUGACCCGAGGAUCUUCAUUUGUAACAAGUGGUUUGAACUACACUUGGAGCCCUAACUGGGACAGUGAUGCACAUAGGGGACUUUGCUCCAGGAAUCUGCAUUUUUAGCAAACUACCCAGACAGAUGGAGAAGCAGCCCAACCUCUGAGAAGCUAGUCUUACUCCCCUCCAGGCAACAUCUGCUUCCACCAAACAGCCCUGCGAAUGUCAGCUUCAGACCCAUACAUCUUCAAGUGAAGUUGGUCCCGAACCAGAAGUCACAGCUGAGUCACCAGCAGCAACGCAGGGACCAAAGAUACUCUGGCCACCCCUUGGCUUUUCCAACCCUCAGGACUGCCUGAGUAUCUCUGUGAAAAGUCAGGGUUCAAGUAAAUGUAAUGAUAAACACUUCCUAGCCACACCACCACAAGCCCCUGCUGUACCCAGUCAUGAUUGUAGAAUUCCUUCCCCACUGUGAUUAAAAGAUAUC